UCCCACAUCCUUGUAGAUACUAGUCAGGUUUAUUUCUGCUGAUCCACAAUGGGCAUUCUAGGUUUUUCUUUUUUAUAUCACCAUCUAAUGUUCUCUGUUCAUUAAAGAUGUCCACUUCAUUAUAAAGAAAGUGAAUAUGUAAAAUCUGGUUUGCAUUUCAAUCUUCCAUAAAACAUGUUUAUGUGUGGAGGAAAUAAUCAUCCCACAGAGUUAAUCUCAUAUAAACUGAAUACAACAGAAAAUAUGCUUCUAUAGUUAAUCCUAAUAUAACUUCACAGUGAAAAUCAUCAGCUGUCUAAAGACACCAGAAUAUGCCUUCAUUAGCGUAGUUUUGCCAUAUAGAAUAUAUUAUCAUGCAAAUAUUCUGGCUUUCUUUGAAAAGUAUCUUAAAAGUAAAAAAAUAACAGGAGAAAAGUUUCAUGCAUCACCAUUUGCAUUACUUGAUAAAUUGUGUCAAUUAAAUUAGUUCAUUCUUAUUAUUAUCACUGCUAUUAUUAUUAACAUUAUGGAAAAUCAACAGAAAAUACUGUUCCAAAGAGUACUUAAGGUCUCUCUUCAUUUUGAGUAAUCAAAUCAAUAUAUCUAAUCAAAAGAAGCAAUUGCCAAAAGAGAAAUUAUUAUUUUCCUGCUUGUAAUGAACCAAUUUUUGACUUUAUAGUCCUACACAGAAAGAUUAGUUGAGAAAGUCAUAAUGAUAUAUAAAGCCACCCUUUCAGAAAAUUAAUUUUCAAGGCUAUGCAACAGACAAAGAUUAAAAUGAAUUGAAAAGAGACCAGAAAAAAAAUUUUUUACAACAUUUUGAACUCCUCCCAAUUAGGACAAAAUCCUCAUUGCUUAUUCUGAACAGGGAAGCCCAUUAAUUUCUGCAGUGUUGGCAGAGUAUAAAACAUUGACUUUCAGUGGAUUUUGGAAUUUUAGAAAGGCAAAAAUCUGCAUUAGUCAUCUCAUUCUAAGAGGCAGAGAGGUAUUACUGAGUUUACUCUCUCAGUGAUUUGGAAAUUGAAGCACAAAUGUUGAACUGCUUGGUUCCCUUUUCAAAUUUUCCACUCUGCCUUUGGAGCAGGUGGUCAGCAUUUGCCUUCAAGACCUAGGAUCCUGCAGCCAGGACCUCAAGUGUUCAAAAAUGGUAGCGUUUUAUCUCCAGGAGGUAUCAAGGGCAACCUGAGAAGACUGCAUUGCUCUGUGCUCAGUGCUCCCAGUUUUGUACUUUGGAGAAAGGACAGGAAGAGCUGGUUUCUUUCCAAAAAGCUCACAUCCAGAGGGAGCGCAGCAAUAUGGUACAGUCUCAGACUCUGCUAUGUCCCUGCAGUGCGGGCAUUUGGCUUAGAGAGAGGUGUGGUGUUGGAAAACUCAAGACAGGAUAUCCCUGGGGGUGAGGUUAGCUCCUGAGGUAAGGUGGUUUUAUGUUAAGGCUUCAGGUUUCACCUUGACUUCAUUUUAGGUCCUACAUUCAAAAACACCUUUUCAUGAGAAAACGAGACCCCCAGAGAGCCCUCUGGGAAUUAUGAGUGUGAAGAAACAGACCAGCAAACAGACUGUGUUCUUUCUUUUGAAUUCUGAAUUUGCUAUUGGAUAUUUAGACAGUAAGGUAUUUCCUGAUAAGGUGAUAUUUUGUAGUAAAACAAGCUAUGAACUUAGAAAUGAGGAAGGCUUCAAGAAACUGAAGGUUAUUUUUAUUGUUUGUUUACAUUCCAGCAAUAUGCUUCUAGGAUAUAAUGGAAAAGUGGCCACUUAUUUGACCAACAAUACAUAACAAAUACACACAACUUAGCAUAAUGCCAGGCAUGGGAGGAAGCACUAAAAAAAUGUUCCUUUUAUUUUCUUGCUCGCAUUUCCUUUUUGAAUCCGAAGAAUGGAGUGUUCCAUAUUUACUCACAGUUAGAUCCCUGCUGGAUUGUGAGUUCCUUAGAGGGCAUCACGCCAUGUCUUAUUAAUUAUACAACCUCUCAUUCCCAACCUUAUAGCAUGACACUUACAUCCAAUAAUUGCUGAAUAAGUGUUAAAGUUGAAAGCAAGUAGCAUAUUCUUACAAUUGGAUAUUUACUUCCUGUGUUCAGUGUUAUAUUUCAUUAAAAGGAUCUAAAUCACUUGCUUGAGAAAGACUACCUAUAGGACAUUCAUCAGUGUGACCUCAUUUAGUAACUUGAAAAUCUUGAUAGAUUGGCUUUACAUGUUAAUCUCUUGGAUAUUCUUCAUGGCUCCCUUAUUGGGUUGCUUUCCCAUUUUGGGUUGAACUUCUGUUCCUCAAACAGUUUCUUGCUUCCCUAGAAUAGCUCUUGACUUGAUUGCAAAUUAAAACUCUUGAAUGGGUACCUUGCUCCAAUGAUUUUUCAAUGACUACACUGUCAGUAAGGAUUUGUCAUUAUUGCCCCAGCUCCAAAUUUCUAUAAUCAUUUGCAUUUUGAAAUAAUCAGGGUAACCAUUCACUGAGACUAUAAUAUAUGAUUUUUUUUUGGUGUUUUUGAAAGGGGAAUAAUAAAGAGAAAGUAAAUUGCUAUUAUAUCUAUUUGAAUAGAAGCCCAUUCCAGGGAGAUAUGGGGGACAUGGCUUGAACUUUGGCUCUUACUUUAGCCUUUUAGAAGCAUUUACACUUGAGUCAUUGAAGAGCUCUUAGAGCCUCACAGCUUUCCAGAAGCUAUGAAUUCUUAAUGAAAAAUGAACUUUGACUUUUAGUUGGAGGUAUUAUUAUUAGGUCUGUGGUAUAAGAGGGAGUAGGGAGACAGAACACGGAACACACUUUCUUUGUUUUUGUUUUUGAAGGUCAGAGUUUUAGUUCUUUUCCUUCCUUCUUGUUUCCCCCUUCUCUCCCUUCCUUUUUUUUUUUUUCCUUUCUCCCUCUCCCAUAAUUUGAAAAAGCAGCUGGGAAAAGUAGCACUUGAACAUUAUUACUCAAAGCACGGUCCAUCUGUGAUGAUCAUCAACAGAAUUAGAUGGGGUGGAUGGGGUAUUUAUUAAACAUUCAGAUUCCUGACCUUCUAAAUACUCUAAACCUACUAAAUCAGAAAAACCUCCACAAUGUGAUUUUUUUUAAAAAAACAAAAACAUUAUUUAUGUUUGAAAAAUUUACAAACUGUUUGAGCUGUGUGAUUGGAUUCAGGAAGUAAAGUCAAGCUCAAUUAAAAAAAAAAACUUUUCUCAGGGCUUGAAUAGCUUAUUUUUAUGUGUAAUUUAUAAAAAUCUCAUUUUACAAGAUGCCAUUUCUCCUAUUGUAAAAUAUGAAAAUUUGUGGCUGGCACUUUGGUGGCAGUCCAGAAACAAUGGGAUAGGUGCCUCCCGGGUAGCUACAGUGGAUAAAUUGAUGCAGUAAAACAUCAACCCACAGAGAAAAUCUUAGCAUCUUCUUAAGUGUUCAUUACAUACAAGAGCACCUCCAUGGCUCCUCUUUAACUGAGAUCAUAUAUGACUUCAUCACGAAGAUGGCCCAUUUCUCUAUCCCUAAUGGAGAAAAUGGGUUUUAUACAGCAUGUAAAUCAUAUUCUCUCUCUAAAAUCAUAUUGAUGUAACCAAAUUUAGUCUGAUCUCCUGCUUAAUAUGUUUUUAAAAGCAGCAAGGGAAUUCAAACGUCAAUGCCAGAAUCAAUUCCUGUCAUCCCACAGAACUGUUAAAAGGUUUCAUUCCAAAAUCAUAUUUCUUUCUACCAAAACCUGACAUUUGAGUCUAUGAAAUUGUUUACUCUUGAUUUUUUAAAAAUCAGUUUACUGACAUGUUUUGAUGGAUGCUGCAUAAUCAUAUCCUCUAUUACCAGGUAUUGUUCAUGCUUCUUAAAUUUGAUUUUAAUCCAAUAUGCGCACACAAACUAUCAAAUAAAAGCCGGUAAUCUUGUUAUCAAAAUUCAGCCUCAUAUGCAUCUGAGUGACAACUUCUACUUCUUUCUGCAGGUUCCCAUUUGGAAGCACAAAACAAAGCAUGACCAUGAAAAGUACACUGGAGUUCAAAAUACUUGGUAGUGAAAAAGAAGGUCAGAGUGGCCACAAAUAUAUCUUAGGGUGAUGUCAGAGUUGAUACAGGAAGAAAAUGUCAAAAAAGUACAAUACCACAAAUUUAAGUGACUGUAAGAAGAAUAGAAAAUAUUACUGAUAUGACAAAGAAAGAAAGGGGUGAUACAAUUGAGUGAUGUGAAGUUCAAGGGAUGGUGGACAGGAAGGUCCCCAGAGAUGUCUAUGGCCUAAAACCUGAAAUCUGGCAGCGUGUUAUAUAACAUAGCAAAAGGGACUUUGCGGAUUGCAUUACAGUUAAGGGCCUUAAAAUAAGGAGGCUAUCCUGGAUUAUCCACAUGGGUCCAAUUUAAUCACAAUAGUCCUUAAAAGCAGAGAUAUUUCUGUGGCUGGAAAUAGGAGAGAUAAGGCAGAGGGAAAGUUAUAGCAAUUCAAAGUGUGAGAAGGACUUAACCCGCUCCUACUGACUUGGAACAUGAGGGGCCACAAACCAGGGAAUAUGGAGGCCUCUAGAACAAUCCUUGGCCAACCACUAGGGAGAAAACAGGGACCUCCAUCCUUCAACCACUCGGAAUUGAAUUUUGCCGAUAUUCUAACUGAGCCUAUGAACAGAUUUUUCUCCAGAUCCUCUGGUCUGCCUGAGACCUUGAUUUUGUUCUUGUGAGACCAAAGCCGAGAAGUCAGUCCAGCACCCUGGAACUUCUGACCCACAGAACUGUGAGCCUCCCUUCCCAGAGAGCCCACGCAGUUGAGACCCACGCUGCAUCCUGUGGAAAGGAUCAUUCUGUUUUCUCCAGGCUCCAGAGUUGAGGUGAACAGCAGAAUUGAGACAGGAGAACAAAAUAUCAGAGGUGUAGCUCCUCAACUGGCAAGUUACCCCAGACUCGUGGAAGAAAACGCGUAAAGGGAAUUUCCCCCAAGGAGCCUUAUUUAUGCAUUCCUGCAAAAACACUAAUACCCUAGAAAGUACAGCCACAUGAAUGCCUCUGAACUUGUUUGAUGGAUGACAAUUGUCCUGUCAUUAUGCUGGUGGAAGACAAAGUGGCGGAAGGUAGGAAUGGAGAAGGGCUGGGCACUACUACCAUGCACACAAAGUGGUGAAACUUUGUGAUGUCUAAGGCAUAUUCCAUUGGCAUUUUGUGACUCUGAGUCUAAAGGUUGCAACCCAAGGCAUGCAGGUUGCCUCUAGAAGCUGGGAAUGUCUCUUAGCAAGGAAACGGGGAUGUCAGUUCUACAUCACAGGAUCUUAAUUCUGUCAGCAACCUGAAUGGGCAAGAACACAGAUUCUACCCCCAAACUUCCAGAAAGAAACACAUCUCUGCUGACACCCUAAUUUUUAGCCUGGUGAGAUCCAUACCAAGUUCUGACCAGGGGAACUCUAAGAUGAUAAAUUGAUGUUGUUUUAAGCCACUAACUUUGUGGUAAUUUUAUUGUAGUAGCAAAGGAAAACUAAAACCUUCAGGAAAGAAAACAUCACAACACUUCCUUAAUGAUCAAGAAGGAAAAUAAUAGCAACAAAAAUCUG